rnacentral:lncRNA from 1 species
CCAGGCAGCUGCUCCCAACCCCAGAACCUUUGCUGUCUUGGGACGGAUCACCGCUGCAAGAGGGGAAGUUGCUACUGUGAUGAAUUCUGCCAUGUGGCACCAGACUGCCACCCAGACCACAGUGUCCUCUGCAACCCUGGUCAAAGGUGCCUACAUGCUCCUUCUAGCUUUGUUUCCCUGAUGUUCCUUGCCACCUGCUACUCCUCUCUGAGCUACUUUUCCAGCUUCUCAGAUGACCAAGAUGGUGCUGCAGAUGGUGCUGAGGAUGGAGAACCCACCAAGCCCCG